rnacentral:tmRNA from 1 species
GGGGCUGAUUCUGGAUUCGACGGGAUUUGCGAAACCCGAGGGGCGGUUGGCCUCGUAAAAAGCCGCAAAAAAUAGUCGCAAACGACGAAAACUACGCUUUAGCAGCUUAAUAACCUGCUUAGAGCCCUCUCUCCCUAGCCUCCGCUCUUAGGACGGGGAUCAAGAGAGGUCAAACCCAAAAGAGAUCGCGUGGAAGCCCUGCCUGGGGUUGAAGCGUUAAAACUUAAUCAGGCUAGUUUGUUAGUGGCGUGUCCGUCCGCAGCUGGCAAGCGAAUGUAAAGACUGACUAAGCAUGUAGUACCGAGGAUGUAGGAAUUUCGGACGCGGGUUCAACUCCCGCCAGCUCCACCA